rnacentral:rRNA from 1 species
CCCCAGACUCCUACGGGAGGCAGCAGUGGGGAAUCUUCCGCAAUGGGCGAAAGCCUGACGGAGCAACGCCGCGUGAUCGAAUGAAGGCCUUCGGGUUGUAAAGAUCUGUUGAUAGGGACGAAUAAGCAAUGCGAAUAGUUUUGUGUAUGACGGUACCUGUUUAGAAAGCUCCGGCUAACUACGUGCCAGCAGCCGCGGUAAUACGUAGGGAGCAAGCGUUGUCCGGAAUUACUGGGUGUAAAGGGCGUGUAGGCGGGAGCGCAAGUCAGAUGUGAGAACUCAGGGCUCAACCCUGAGCCUGCAUUUGAAACUGUGUUUCUUGAGUGCUGGAGAGGCAAUCGGAAUUCCGUGUGUAGCGGUGAAAUGCGUAGAUAUUAGGAGGAACACCAGUGGCGAAGGCGGUCUGCUGGACAGCAACUGACGCUGAGGCGCGAAAGCGUGGGGAGCAAACAGGAUUAGAUACCCCAGUACCC